GACGAACGCUGGCGGCGUGCUUAACACAUGCAAGUCGGACGGUAAGGCCCUUCGGGGUACACGAGUGGCGAACGGGUGAGUAACACGUGGGUGAUCUGCCCUGCACUUCGGGAUAAGCCUGGGAAACUGGGUCUAAUACCGGAUAGGACCACUGCCUGCAUGGGUGGUGGUGGAAAGCUUUUGCGGUGUGGGAUGGGCCCGCGGCCUAUCAGCUUGUGGGUGGGGUGAUGGCCUACCAAGGCGACGACGGGUAGCCGGCCUGAGAGGGUGACCGGCCACACUGGGACUGAGAUACGGCCCAGACUCCUACGGGAGGCAGCAGUGGGGAAUAUUGCACAAUGGGCGAAAGCCUGAUGCAGCGACGCCGCGUGAGGGAUGACGGCCUUCGGGUUGUAAACCUCUUUCAGCUAUGACGAAGCGCAAGUGACGGUAGUAGCAGAAGAAGGACCGGCCAACUACGUGCCAGCCGCCGCAGUAA
rnacentral:rRNA from 1 species